rnacentral:tRNA from 2 species
GUCUUUCUAGUAUAACGCUAGUACACGUGACUUCCAAUCACCUAGUCCAGGUUGAACUCCGGGGAAAGACA